UCGGCAUGGUGAUGAUGUUUUUUUUAAUGUUUUCAUAUGAUUAUUCAUAUGAUGAAUACUAUCCUCCUACUCAUUCUGA
rfam:Cajanus cajan Scaffold000004_23, whole genome shotgun sequence.